rnacentral:rRNA from 1 species
CCUACGGGUGGCAGCAGUCGAGAAUCAUUCACAAUGGGGGAAACCCUGAUGGUGCGACGCCGCGUGGGGGAAUGAAGGUCUUCGGAUUGUAAACCCCUGUCAUGUGGGAGCAAAUUAAAAAGAUAGUACCACAAGAGGAAGAGACGGCUAACUCUGUGCCAGCAGCCGCGGUAAUACAGAGGUCUCAAGCGUUGUUCGGAUUCACUGGGCGUAAGGCGUGCGUAGGCUGUUUCGUAAGUCGUGUGUGAAAGGCGCGGGCUCAACCCGCGGACGGCACAUGAUACUGCGAGACUAGAGUAAUGGAGGGGGAACCGGAAUUCUCGGUGUAGCAGUGAAAUGCGUAGAUAUCGGGAGGAACACUCGUGGCGAAGGCGGGUUCCUGGACAUUAACUGACGCUGAGGCACGAAGGCCAGGGGAGCGAAAGGGAUUAGAUACCCGAGUAGUC